rnacentral:rRNA from 1 species
CAGCCUACGGGGGGCAGUAGGGAAUCUUCCACAAUGGACGAAAGUCUGAUGGAGCAACGCCGCGUGAGUAAAGAAGGGUUUCGGCUCGUAAAGCUCUGUUGGUAGUGAAGAAAGAUAGAGGGAGUAACUGGCCUUUAUUUGACGGUAAUUACUUAGAAAGUCACGGCUAACUACGUGCCAGCAGCCGCGGUAAUACGUAGGUGGCAAGCGUUGUCCGGUGUUAUUGGGGGUAAAGCGAGUGCAGG